GUUAAGAAUCUGCCUUCUAUGCGGGAGACUUGGGUUCAAUCCCUGGGUUGGGAGUAUCCCCUGGAGAAGGGAAAGGCUACCUACUCAAGUAUUCUGGCCUAGAGAAUUCCAUGGACUGUACAGUCCAUGGGGUCACAAAGAGUUGGAAUCAUUUCCAGCUCAUCAGCAUUAUUGAUUUCAGAUUCACCGUGAAAAGAAAACUGUAAAACUGACACUGGGAAAGUGAUUCUCUGAACUUAGAGGUCAACUUGAACCAGGAAAGAUGGAACCCGUGGAAAGAUUUGGCUCACCGCGCUGAACAGGUGCGGCCAUCAAAGUGAGUGGGUGACGCUUGUCCGAGUCCUGCGGAGUGAGCCAGUGCUGUGUGACUCACCUUCGUGAUAUCAGUAAAGCUCCAAGCCUCUUGCCUGGGAAUUGACAAAGGAAACUCUAUUCUGAAUAUGUCACUAUUUGAAUCUUUAAAUGUAAUCCACUUACCAGUCAACUGACAAACGUUCUCCAUAUUCUUCAGGUUGUUUCUAAUCUUUCUCCUAAUCACUUUUGCAGCCUGGCUGGAUUUUAUUGGGUUUAUGUGUGUUAGCUUUGAGAAGGAAUGGAAACACCUGCUUCUCUGAGAUGAUCAUUAUGUACCACCCCCUGCCUCGUCCCCCACCACAGCUCGGGUAGAGCAGAAAGGUGAUCUCAUAGGGUUUUUCCACACAAUUAUUCUGAUUUUUAAAACACAAGUAUGUGAAAGCCCCAAUCAUUGCCUCUUAAAAUCCCCUUUGUGUUCAAAGAGGAAGCUUGGGGAAUAGUUUCAGCAAAGUAUCGGGAGUAUCAGAUAGCACUGAUUCACCCAGUUCUGGAAACAAACCUCAGUUUCUUCAAUCAUUGGUUCAAGAUGAGAAAACUCCAAAAAUGUGAAAACUUCCCUUUGUCGUGUACUAAUUUGGCCACAAACUAGAGAUCAGCCUGUCCUCUGACAAAUGUGACACGUGAAUUUGACAAGUGUUCCGUCUUCUUCCACCCCAGUUCAUGCUGCGCCCUUCUGGCUACAUUGCUCCCUGGGUUCUCUAUUCAAGUCUUCCUCAUCUUUGGAGGUCCCACUGUCUCCUGGUAACCUUCUCCAACUUACUGGCUUAGAGGGAGCUUUUCCUCCCCUGAACUCUGGCACAUAUAUCAGAAUCUCUCAAUUGACAUUUAGUCAAUUUCCAGGGUAGAGAUUUUGCUGAAUUCUUACUCCCACACCUGUAGGGGUGCUGGUGCUUUGCCUACAGUGCUGAUGUGUAGUGUUGGCUGGGCAUCAGGAUUACCUGUGCAGCUUUUAGGGAUUACACAUGUCCCAGUCUCACACCACACCUUCUGAAUCAGGCUCACUGCUUGGGUGAUUCUGAUUUACCCCUGGAGUGAGAGCUACCACUUUGCCAUUAUUGUAGGAAUUACAUGAGCUAAUAUGUUGAAGUGAAGUGAAGUGUUAGUCACUCAAAGGUGUCCAGCUCUUUUCAACCCCAUGGACUAGGGCUCUCCAGGCUCCUCUGUCCAUGGGAUUCUCCAGAGAAGGAUACUGAAGUGGGUUGCCCUUUCCUUCUCUAGGAGAUCUUCCCAACCCAGGGGUUGAACCCAGGUCUCCUGCAUUGCAGGCAGACUCUUUACUGUGUGAGCCACCAGCGAAGCUCUCAGUAGAGGUAUAUUGACAGGCACUUUUUUUUUUUUUUUAAUUAAGCUCUAGACUUUCAUUAUCGGAGAAGGCAAUGGCACCCCACUCCAGUACUCUUGCCUGGAA
ensembl:lncRNA